GCGGAAUAAAUUGCGCGGAGGGUUUUGGAGAGGACGGUCGGUGGGCAAAAGCCGGGGGUGCUGGGUGAAUAAGUGAUCCUUGGUACCAGGGUGGUAUGUCGGGGAGAGCUGCAGAGGCGCCGGCUGGGUGCCGAGUCUGAAGGUCGGAGGGUGGUGAGGUGCUAGGAUGUAACAGCAGAGGAGAGGAAUUGUGCCGAAGAGGAACGGCAGUCACUUUUGCACGAGCAGUACCAGCACACUUUCCUGCUCACCUUCCUCGCUCUCAACACAAUGGAGCACCCAUUUGAGACCUCCAUGAUUCUCUGAGCUUGGCAUGCUAGGUGGAGUCCAGCACUUGGGCACAUGGCUCCAGUGUUAUUCCCAGGAUGAAGACUUGGCCAUAAUGUUGAAUUCAUCAGGUCAUCUUUGGACUAAGGGUAUGGGUGGAUUGACAGACGCCAUGCAGCAAACCUUGACUUUCCUCUUCUUUGGUGAUUUGAUACUGGAGCAUUCAAGACUUCAGUAGUGUUGCUGAAUGGGAAGAUGCAACUUGUUGCUGUUUCUGGCUCCCAGGUAUAACACCAGCUUGGGAAGGAUAUGCAAUCAGUGGCCAAAAGAGGACUACUGCAACCAAUAAUGACACUAGUGGUGUGAAAGGGGGCCUUUAUGGAUGGAGAAGAGGGUAACCAGCACCAACCACUCUUUUUGCAGCUCUUCUCCUGACCUGGCAAUGUUUGCUUCUCCUGGGCAGACUUUUUAAAACAAGUGAAGGUCACAAACCUUCAGCUCAGACACCCCAUAGUGAUGAGUUUGUGCUUCUGUACAUACACACACACACACUCACACUCUCUCUCUCUAAAUAUGACACAGACUACUCCAGUCACUGGUCUUCUAUCUGAACUAAGUUCCUUGUGAGUAUUCACACUGAAAUUAACAGGACAAGCUUACUGCACCUAUUAAUUUCAGUGGGUAUACCAGUACUAAUUUUCUGAAGCCUGCCUGUCAGGCUGCGGGGAGGGAUAUGCUGAGCUUCAGCAUGUAGCCAGCCAAUCAAGAGCAGAAGAGGAGGGUCUUCAACCUCCUCCUUCCCCUUCUGCAGAAGACACAUUGCUGAGGCUACAGCAAAGGGAAGUAGGAAGGCUCUGAGUGCCCCCUGGGAGCCCUUCAAGUACGCUUAAGGCGGGGUACUAGUAACCCUUGUUGGGAACCCCUGCACCAGGGAGUGGAGAAGAGUGUGCCUUUAUUAGCACCUUAAAUAUUCUGCCUUCAGUAGUAAAUACUCUCUCCCCAGUUCCCUGGGUUUGGAUCUCAUUGGGCCAACAGCAUAUUUUGCUGCCUAGAGGUCUUGGAGAAUACAUCAUUUCUGACCAAACUCAUGCAGUGGAGAUGUUCGGCUAGGAUAGGACUAUGACUAACGGAGGUGCUGGAGCCCUCAAGAUGUAGUUAGCUAACAUUUUUUAUAGCUCAUUUGUAUCCAACCUUGGUUUAUGAUAGUAUCUAGUCUUUUGGCCAGGAAUAAGCAGAAGCCCUAGGAGUCUAAUGCAUACCACAUAUUUUGACUUGGUCUCAACAGAGCUGACUGUUCACUCUUCACUGAGACCAGCACUGUGGAUUUUCAAGUGGAUGGAGUCACUUCUGUAGGAGCAUCUAUGAUUUCCAAAGGCUUUCAUGGAUGACCACGAAAUCCACUGGUUUUGCAUUGUUUGCUGCCAGUUAAAUUUUCUCUUCCUCAGGGAAUAUACAAAUUUGGACUGUAAGCUCUCUGAACAAAGCUGCUUUGUUCUGUUCACUAUCACUGCAAAUAAAAUGUUAAAAGUGGUGGGAACUUGA